CCUACGGGUGACAGCAGUGAGGAAUAUUGGUCAAUGGCCGUAAGGCUGAACCAGCCAUGCCGCGUGAAUGAAGAAGGAUCUAUGGUUUGUAAACUUCUUUUAUAGGGGAAUAAAGGUAUCCACGUGUGGAUAUUUGCAUGUACCCUAUGAAUAAGCAUCGGCUAACUCCGUGCCAGCAGCCGCGGUAAUACGGAGGAUGCGAGCGUUAUCCGGAUUUAUUGGGUUUAAAGGGUGCGUAGGUUGUUUUUUAAGUCAGAGGUGAAAGUUUGUGGCUCAACCAUAAAAUUGCAGUUGAAACUGGAAGACUUGAGUGUUUUUGAGGGAGGCAGAAUGCGAGGUGUAGCGGUGAAAUGCAUAGAUAUCACGCAGAACUCCGAUUGCGAAGGCAGCUUACUAAGCCAUAACUGACACUGAAGCGCGAAAGCGUGGGGAGCAAACAGGAUUAGAUACCCUAGUAGUC
rnacentral:rRNA from 1 species